UACGUAGGGUGCGAGCGUUGUCCGGAAUUAUUGGGCGUAAAGAGCUUGUAGGCGGUUUGUCGCGUCUGCUGUGAAAACCCGAGGCUCAACCUCGGGCCUGCAGUCGAUACGGGCAAACUAGAGUACUGCAGGGGAGACUGGAAUUCCUGGUGUAGCGGUGAAAUGCGCAGAUAUCAGGAGGAACACCGGUGGCGAAGGCGGGUCUCUGGGCAGUAACUGACGCUGAGGAGCGAAAGCGUGGGGAGCGAACAGG
rnacentral:rRNA from 1 species